UACAGAGGUCUCAAGCGUUGUUCGGAUUCAUUGGGCGUAAAGGGCGCGUAGGCGGCGGGGUAAGUCGGGUGUGAAAUCUCAGAGCUCAACUCUGAAAUGGCACUUGAUACUGCUCUGCUAGAGGACUGGAGAGGAGAUUGGAAUUCACGGUGUAGCGGUGAAAUGCGUAGAUAUCUGGAGGAACACCGGUGGCGAAGGCGGCAUCCUGGACCAACACUGACGCUGAGGAGCGAAAGCCAGGGGAGCAAACGGG
rnacentral:rRNA from 1 species